rnacentral:rRNA from 1 species
GACGAACGCUGGCGGCGUGCCUAAUACAUGCAAGUUGAGCGCUGAAGGUUGGUACUUGUACCGACUGGAUGAGCAGCGAACGGGUGAGUAACGCGCGAGGAAUCUGCCUUUGAGCGGGGGACAACAUUUGGAAACGAAUGCUAAUACCGCAUAAAAACUUUAAACACAAGUUUUAAGUUUGAAAGAUGCAAUUGCAUCACUCAAAGAUGAUCCAGCGUUGUAUUAGCGAGUUGGUGAGGUAAAGGCUAACCAAGGCGAGGAUACAUAGCCGACCUGAGAGGGUGAUCGGACACAUUGGGACUGAGACACGGCCCAAACGCCUACGGGAGGCAGCAGUAGGGAAUCUUCGGCAAUGGACGAAAGUCUGACCGAGCAACGCCGCGUGAGUGAAGAAGGUUUUCGGAUCGUAAAACUCUGUUGGUAGAGAAGAACGUUGGUGAGAGUGGAAAGCUCAUCAAGUGACGGUAACUACCCAGAAAGGGACGGCUAACUACGUGCCAGCCGCCGCCGUAA